rnacentral:rRNA from 1 species
GAUCCUGGCUUAGGAUGAACGCUGGCGGCGUGCCUAACACAUGCAAGUCGAACGAAGCACCUUGUUGAUCCUUCGGGUGAUAUGAUGGUGACUGAGUGGCGGACGGGUGAGUAACGCGUGGGUAACCUGCCCUGUACAGGGGGAUAACAGUCAGAAAUGACUGCUAAUACCGCAUAAGCGCACGAAAGGACAUCCUUUAGUGUGAAAAACUCCGGUGGUACAGGAUGGGCCCGCGUCUGAUUAGCUUGUUGGCGGGGUAAAGGCCCACCAAGGCGACGAUCAGUAGCCGGUCUGAGAGGAUGAACGGCCACAUUGGAACUGAGACACGGUCCAAACUCCUACGGGAGGCAGCAGUGGGGAAUAUUGCACAAUGGGGGGAACCCUGAUGCAGCCAACGCCGCGUGAGUGAAGAAGCAUUUCGGUAUGUAAAGCUCUAUCAGCAGGGAAGAUAAUGACGGUACCUGACUAAGAAGCUCCGGCUAAAUACGUGCCAGCAGCCGC